rnacentral:snoRNA from 1 species
ACACUAAUACUUGAACAAUUUGCCAUUGUUGUUUUGAUUUGCACUAGGACGCGAAAGAAAAUAAUCCCUGUGCUUUCUGUCUGUCUUUGUGGCAGCCUAGAUUGAAUUGGUGGAAUACAUCA